rnacentral:rRNA from 1 species
CCUACGGGAGGCAGCAGUCGGGAAUAUUGCGCAAUGGAGGAAACUCUGACGCAGUAACGCCGCGUGCAGGAAGAAGGUUUUCGGAUUGUAAACUUCUUUAGACAGGGAAGAAUAAAGACAGUACCUGUUGAAUGAACUCCGGCGAACUACGUUCCAGCAGCCGCGGUUAUACGUAGGGAGCAAGCGUUAUUCGGAUUUAUUGGGUGUAAAGGGUGCGUAGACGGAGAAGCAAGUUAGAUGUGAAAUCCCUCGGCUUAACUGAGGAACUGCAAUUAAAACUAUUUGACUUGAGUACUGGAGAGGAUAGUGGAAUUCCUAGUGUAGCGGUGAAAUGCGUAGAUAUUAGGAGGAACACCAGUGGCGAAGGCGACUUUCUGGACAGUAACUGACGUUGAGGCACGAAAGUGUGGGGAGCAAACAGGAUUAGAUACCCCAGUAGUC